rnacentral:rRNA from 1 species
CCUACGGGAGGCAGCAGUGGGGGAUAUUGCACAAUGGGGGAAACCCUGAUGCAGCGACGCCGCGUGAGGGAAGAAGUAUUUCGGUAUGUAAAGCUCUAUCAGCAGGGAAGAAAAUGACAGUACCUGACCAUGAAGCCCCGGCUAACUACGGGCCAGCAGCCGCGGUAAUACGUAGGGGGCAAGCGUUAUCCGGAUUUACUGGGUGUAAAGGGAGCGUAGACGGUUAUGUAAGUCUGGAGUGAAAGCCUGGGGCCCAACCCCGGGACUGCUUUGGAAACUGUGUGACUUGAGUACAGGAGGGGCAGGCGGAAUUCCUGGUGUAGCGGUGAAAUGCGUAGAUAUCAGGAGGAACACCGGCGGCGAAGGCGGCCUGCUGGACUGAAACUGACGUUGAGGCUCGAAAGCGUGGGGAGCAAACAGGAUUAGAUACCCGUGUAGUC